GUAAAUAAUAAAGGGCGUAUGGUGGAUGCCUAGGCUCUCAGAGGCGAUGAAGGACGUGAUAAGCUGCGAAAAGCUCCGUUUAGGUGCAAAUAACCUUUGAUGCGGAGAUCUCCGAAUGGGAUAACCCAAUAUGUUGAAGACAUAUUAUACCGUAAGGUAGGCAAACGCAGGGAACUGAAACAUCUAAGUACCUGCAGGAGAAGAAAACAAACGUGAUUCCCCCAGUAGCGGCGAGCGACCGGGGAAAAGCCCAAACCGUUAUUGUUUCGGCAUUAACGGGGUAGUAGGACUGCAAGCUUGAUGAAAUAAAUGAAAUGGAACACCUUGGAAAAUGUGAUCACAGAGGGUGAUAAUCCCGUACAUGCAAGUUUAUGAAUCAUAGCAGACUCCUGAGUAAGUCGGGACACGUGUAAUCCUGACCGAAUCCGCCGGGACCAUCCGGCAAGGCUAAAUACUCCUGAGAGACCGAUAGUGAACCAGUACCGUGAGGGAAAGGUGAAAAGCACUUCGAACAGAAGAGUGAAAUAGUUCCUGAACCCAUACGCCUACAAGCUGUCGGAGCCGCUUCGUGCGGUGACGGCGUGCCUUUUGCAUAAUGAGCCUACGAGUUACUCAUCACCAGCGAGGUUAAGUACUUCAGGUACGUAAGCCGAAGCGAAAGCGAGUCUGAAUAGGGCGUCAAGUUGGUGGUGGUAGACGCGAAACCUUAGUGAUCUACCCAUGGGCAGGGUGAAGGUUUGGUAACACAAACUGGAGGCCCGAACCGGUAAACGUUGAAAAGUUUUCGGAUGACCUGUGGGUAGGGGUGAAAGGCCAAUCAAACUGGGAAAUAGCUCGUACUCUCCGAAAUGCAUUUAGGUGCAGCCUCUGUUGUUUUGUUCUAGAGGUAGAGCUACUGAUUGGAUGCGAGGGCUUCACCGCCUAUCAAAUCCGGCCAAACUCCGAAUGCUAGAACAUGAAGACAGGGAGUGAGCCAGCGGGUGCUAAGGUCCGUUGACGAAAGAGGGAGAACUCAGACCAUCAGCUAAGGUCCCCAAUUAUAUGCUAAGUUGGAAUUAAAACGGGGUGGGACUGCUUAGACAGCUAGGAUGUUGGCUUGGAAGCAGCCAUUCAUUUAAAGAGUGCGUAACAGCUCACUAGUCGAGCGGUCCUGCAUGGAUAAUACGCGGGCAUAAGCAUAUAACCGAAGCUAUGGGAUUGUAGAUGAUACAAUCGGUAGGAGAGCAUUCCAUUCAGCGUAGAAGCAGUAUCGUGAGGUAUUGUGGAGCGGAUGGAAAAGCAAAUGUAGGCAUAAGUAACGAUAAUGCGGGUGAGAACCCCGCACGCCGAAAGAUCAAGGAUUCCCCGGCAAUGUCAAUCAUCCGGGGGUAAGUCGGAUCCUAAGGGUAAGCCGAGUGGCGAUCCCGAUGGCAAACAGGUUAAUAUUCCUGUACUGAUCAUAACUGCGAUGCAGCGACGCAGAGGUGACACUGCUGCGUACUGACGGAAUAGUACGUUGAAACCCGUAUUCUUUGAUACCGGUAGUGAAGCACGCCGGUAGAGAUGAAAGGUGAUAGUACCGCAAUGCUUCGGUUGCGCGGAUAAUGCAGGUAAGCUGACUGCCAAGAAAACCUGCUAAGCUUCAGGUAAUGAUCAUCCGUACUGUAAACGGACACACGUGAUCAGGUAGAAAAUACUAAGGCGCUCGAGAGAUUCAUGGUUAAGGAACUAGGCAAAAUGGUCCUGUAACUUCGGGAUAAAGGACGCUCUUGUGAAAGAGCCGCAGAUAAUAGGCCCAGGCGACUGUUUACCAAAAACACAUGGCUAUGCUAAUUCGCAAGAAGAUGUAUAUGGCCUGACACCUGCCCGGUGCCGGAAGGUUAAGAGGAGAGCUUAGAGCAAUCGAAGGUUUGAAUUGAAGCCCCGGUAAACGGCGGCCGUAACUAUAACGGUCCUAAGGUAGCGAAAUUCCUUGUCAGGUAAG
rnacentral:rRNA from 1 species